GCUGAAUGUUUGCUCUGCUCAACAUAAACGGAACUCAAAGUGUCCUUCAUUUAUUCUGUCAGAAGAAGCUUUCAUUCUCACUACAGCUGGUGAACGAAACAAACACGUGCACACAGUGGAUCAACAAAGUCCAGUUGUGUGUGAGCUGGUUUGGUUACCCGUCGCUCCACGCUCCAGUCCACUCCACCUGACCCCAUGGGUUCCUCAUCCUCACCAGCUUCUCCUGCCGGCCCCGGUAGUUCACCUGGAAACACGACAACAAGAUAGUCCAGGCGAGAGGUCUCACUCUGGUGCAGAUUCCUGACUGACGAGGUGAAAGCAGAGAAACCUGAGGGAGAAUGUGUUUCUGCAUGUGGAAACAAAACUUGAAUGUGAGUUACACAACAGAGAAUCUGCUGCUGUGGUUUAAUGAAGGCACGACAUGCUGGUGAGUCACGCACCACAACACUGUGUGUGUGUGUGUGUGUGUGUGGGUGUGUGUGUGUGUGUGUGCACGCGUCAGGGUGUGUCCUCAGUGGUUUACUGAACAUAUCUUCACUCGCUCUCUCCCUCUCUAUCUCUGAUGUUUGGCUCUUUGUCUCUCGCCCUCUAACAAUAGCUGAUAGUUGGCAGUCCACUUCCUGUCCUGCUCCUUCCUGCUCAGCCAAUCAGGGCCCAGGCUGGCAGCGCCCUCUAAUUAGAGCAGGAUUCAGAUUCUCAGCUGGCUCACAUUAACUUCUCUGGGUGUGCUGUAAACAAGGUGUGGUGUCUGAGUCCAGGAAUAUUGUUCAUGUUGGACACGAGAUGUCUCCUUUCAUUUGAUUUCCUGUCUCAUUUCAGACUGGGCUCUGAUUGGCUCCAGGCUAGCCCAGAUGCAGGUGAGUCGCCGACUGGCAGAAACUACGCAGAGUGUUUACAGUGAGGCUGUGCACAGCCCCGUAAAAACUGUGGUGUGUUCACUGACAGUCAGGAUAACUCACCCAGAGCUCCCUGGCAGAUGUCGGUCCUGGUGGCUCCACCCAUGAUGAACUCAGGAUUCGAGACCAGUUCCUGGUGGACAGGAAGUCAAAAGCACUGAGAUUAAAACAGACAUGAACUGAGUGGACUCUACAGACUGAUCCUCCUGUUUUGGGCCCCCUCAGGACUUGAGCCCAGUUCAGUGAACAGCCAUCAUCAGACUGUCCACUCUGGUAUGGAGUCAGUCUCAGUCCAGUCUGAGUCUCAGCUGCAGUCGUCCAGCGGAGUUGUGUUUUUCCUGUUUAAGUAAUUUCUUAAAUUCCUGAGAUGUUUGAGUGAAGUCGACCUUCGGUUAAUGUCAGUUUUGAAACGUCCUGCGGGCUCCACUGGACUGUGAACACAUCCUGCAUUGUACUCAGAACUACUUUACUACACGUUUGUACACAUUUUACCUUCAGAAGGUGUGCAGUUUGUGCAGCUCAGACCUGCCUGAGUCACCCCCCCUCAUGUGCUCGCUACUUCCUGCUUCUGAAAAUACUCCGAGUGACACAUCAGCUCAGUACACACACUUUUUGACAUAAACAGUACAGUAACUUUACAAGCAGCAGGAGUGUGUGUGUGUGUGUGUGUGUGUGUGUUGCUCUGUGUGCGUGUGUGUGUUACUCUGUGUGUGUGCGUGUGUGUGUGCUGGUUGUUCCUCAGGGUGUCUCUCAAACCAGGAACCUCCUCCCUCUCUGAAAUCGUAGUGACUCAUCUGACCGGUAUGCAGGAUCUCUGACUGAGUGACUCACUGUGUGCUCAGAUGGGUUCAAGUCAAAGCAGCAGUGAACACAUGAAGGUGAAUUCAGGACGUUUGUCAUGUUGGAGCUGAUCUAACUGGUGCGACUGACCCUCCGGUCUACAGCUCUGGGAUCAGCUCCGACACGCUGGCUGACCAGAACUGGUCUGAGUGCAAGAGCUUCUGACUGGAACCGGUUUCCAGCAGACACAUUGGGAUCCCACACACACGUGACGGACCAACGGCUGCUGGUGUGUCGGCUGUUUUCACGUGUUCAGUGUGUGUGUGAAGACAAAGCUGAAGAGGAGUCUAAUAAACAAACAGAUAAACAAACCUGAAGAGUGUACACUUCAUGUUUCCACGUUCCCCCUGCACAGUAUUUCUACAGUACACAACUGCAGUACUAUGACAGUGCCGUGUACUGGGACUGUGGACUGUGACUGUAUGUCAUGAUUUCUGUCCUCCAGGAUUUUUAUGUUUGUACAGCAGGCUGUAGUUUAUUACAGUCCGGUGCUGUGGUGAUGACGAGGUCACGUGAUGUUGUGUCGUCUGUACGGAACAAAUAAAAUAAGAUCGAGAGACAAACUUCUUACUUCACAUCUGACGUCUGUUUACUGAUCAGCUGAUUAACACCUGAUCCAUAUCUGAUUGCUGUCUGGGUAAUACUUCUGGUCUUUCUGUAGUGUGUCCGAUGAAGUGGUUUCUGAGGGUUUCUGGUGUGUUUUUCCGUCCGGGUGGAGCAGCAGCAGCUCUGAGUCGCCUGCAGGUAUCCUGCCAACACCCCCGCCCCCCCCAAACACACACCACCACCACCACCACAUAACGCCCCUCCAGCUCCACCCACCCAUCCUGAACCAAACGCAGAUCCAGAACCAGGCCCGGGUCUUACCGUG